AUUGAACGCUGGCGGCAUGCCUUACACAUGCAAGUCGAACGGUAACAGGUCUUCGGAUGCUGACGAGUGGCGAACGGGUGAGUAAUGUAUCGGAACGUGCCCAGUUGUGGGGGAUAACUGCUCGAAAGAGCAGCUAAUACCGCAUACGACCUGAGGGUGAAAGCGGGGGAUCGCAAGACCUCGCGCAAUUGGAGCGGCCGAUAUCAGAUUAGGUAGUUGGUGGGGUAAAGGCUCACCAAGCCAACGAUCUGUAGCUGGUCUGAGAGGACGACCAGCCACACUGGGACUGAGACACGGCCCAGACUCCUACGGGAGGCAGCAGUGGGGAAUUUUGGACAAUGGACGCAAGUCUGAUCCAGCCAUGCCGCGUGCGGGAAGAAGGCCUUCGGGUUGUAAACCGCUUUUGUCAGGGAAGAAACGCUCUGGGUUAAUACCUCGGGGUAAUGACGGUACCUGAAGAAUAAGCACCGGCUAACUACGUGCCAGCCGCCGCCGUAACAC
rnacentral:rRNA from 1 species